GUAGUUGUGGCUCAGUGGUAGAGUGCUUGCCUAGCAUGUAAGGCACUGGGUUCAAUCCUCAGCACUACA
rfam:Ictidomys tridecemlineatus contig055873, whole genome shotgun sequence.